rnacentral:lncRNA from 1 species
GUGCCGACUUGAUCUCCCAGGUCUCCCUCAACUGUCUGUAAGGUGCUAAAUUUGAGAACCACGAGUCGUGUUUCCCAAGCCCACAAGAGCACUUGUCCUGGGGUCCCCUGGUACCCUGUGGAGAUCGUGGUGGAGGAUGUGGGAUGACAAAGAGGAGAGGCAAUGGGCCAGAGUGUCUCAAGGCACUCUGAGGAGAGACAGAGGUGGAACAGGACAGACCCACGGACCCUGAGAGGAGACAGACAUGCAGACUUCCAGACCUUCAGGGAGAAAGACUUCCUCCCACCUCGGGGACGAAUAUACUGACACACCACUCCCAGGGACAGAGACAUGGACCACAGACACCUAGACCCUCAAAGAAGGCAAACAGAUUCCCAGAGGGACAGGCUCCCUCCAACCACACCGGAAAGAGAAGCAAAUAAACCUUCAGAGGGGACACGUGGGUCCUCAGAGAGACGGAUGAACAGAGCGCGUGUCCCCUCCACGCAGGGAUAGAAGCAGACCCUGGAGAGAGUGACCAUGAGCUUCCAAAGGGGGGGCAGACAGACUGUCCACAGGGACAGACCCACAGGAAGACUCUCCCAACCCCCUCAACAGGGACAGAUAAAUAAAACAUCAGAGAGGACCAGCACGCAGACACCGAGGGGGACGGACACCAAAUCCUCAAGGGAAUUGACACAGAGCCCCUCUGCACCUCCAGGUUCAGUAGAGCCUCUUCCAUAAGCGGAUAGAUACUCAGACUCCCUGUCCCCAGCGGUUCAGGCCAUACAAAGCCACCUCUGCCCCUCUAGCUGAAUCCCAUCCCCUACUGUGUCCCUUUCUCUGUCAGCCACCACUCCGUGGCCCACCCCCAAGCUCUAGACCCACAGAAUCCAGGUCUGGUGAGCUCUGAGCUGCCACUGCUGGGUCUCCAGGCCCUCAUCUCCAGGGAGCCAGGGGAAGGGACAGACUCACCCAGUGAGCGGGGCUGAACCGAUUCAUGACCACCGCAGGGCCAAAAGAGCGGGCUGGGUUCAUGGAGCAGCCAGU